CGGCGAGUGAAGAGGGAUUAGCCCAGCACUGAAACCUGUAGUUAAUUGACUACUAGGUAAUGUGGUGUUUAGGCGAGCUUUUCGCACUACUGCUCCAUUCUAAGUCCAGCAAUGAGUACGGCAACUGGAUCGGCCCACAGAGGGUGAAAGGCCCGUGUGAAUGGAGAGCAGACAGGCCAGUGGUGUGCUGAGUUCGUCUUGGAGUCGGGUUGUUUGUGAAUGCAGCCCAAAGCAGGUGGUAAACUCCAUCUAAGGCUAAAUACAGGCACGAGUCCGAUAGCGAACAAGUACCGUGAGGGAAAGUUGAAAAGUACUUUGAAGAGAGAGUAAACAGUGCGUGAAACCGCUCAGAGGUAAACGGGUAGAGUUGAACUGAAAGCUCGGGGGAUUCAGCUGAAUUGGCAUGGUGUGUGAUUGGACAUUAUGGCCGUCCAUUAGACUCCACGUAAAUGUGGGUUCUGGCCACGGCUCUCGGGCUUGUGGUUGGGAUGCAUGGAAUGCUUAACAUGUAUCGUGCGGUUUGAUGGGUCGGGUCUGCCUGUCAGUGCACUUCCUCCGAGUGGUCACCACAACCGGCACUGCUACUUGUUUGUUAUGGUUGAACCAAUUUGAUUUGGCUUUCGGGUCAUGUCGGGUUGGUAUGACAGGUAGCCAGUGAUUCUGCGCAAGCAGUUUUGUUGGUGUAAUUAGUUGACUGUAAUUUGAACUAUGUAUAGUGCCGGAGAAAGCGGCCAAUGCUUGCGUGUGUGCUGAUUCUGCAAGUUAGAUUGGGUUCGAUAUAUUGUUCUUGCUUGACAGGUCUGUUAUAGCUCAUUUUAGCUUGUGGGUGGUUGCAUGCGUGGCAUCAUAUGUUGGGCCUAUAGUUUGUGGUGUAGUGGUAGACUUUCUACCCGACCCGUCUUGAAACACGGACCAAGGAGUUUAACAUAUGCGCGAGUCAUUGGGUCAUACGAAACCCAUAGGCGCAGUGAAAAUGAAGGCUUGACUUGUUCGAGCUAAGGCGAGAUCCUGUUGUUCCUCUGCCUUGAAUGACUAACAAGUUGCUGAGCAGCAGGCGCAUCGCUAGCCCGUCCCAUGACGUAGACGAACAGUUUUAUAUUGUUUGCACCGUCGGGGCGGAGCCUGAGCGCAUACGUUGAGACCCGAAAGAUGGUGAACUAUGCUUGCAAAGGUUGAAGCCAGAGGAAACUCUGGUGGAGGACCGUAGCGAUUCUGACGUGCAAAUCGAUCGUCUGAUGUGAGUAUAGGGGCGAAAGACUAAUCGAACCAUCUAGUAGCUGGUUCCCUCCGAAGUUUCCCUCAGGAUAGCUGGCAUUCGGAGUAUUAAACAGUUUUAUCCGGUAAAGCGAAUGAUUAGAGGUGUUGGGGACAAAAUGUCCUUAGCCUAUUCUCAAACUUUAAAUGGGUGAGAAGCCUGGCUCGCUUAAUUGGAGUUGGGCAUUGAAUGUGAGUGCCAAGUGGGCCAUUUUUGGUAAGCAGAACUGGCGCUGUGGGAUGAACCAAACGUCUGAUUAAGGUGCCUAACGUGACGCUCAUGAGAUACCACAAAAGGUGUUGGUUGGUAUUGACAGCAGGACGGUGGCCAUGGAAG
rnacentral:rRNA from 1 species